rnacentral:rRNA from 1 species
UACGGAGGGAGCUAGCGUUGUUCGGAAUUACUGGGCGUAAAGCGUACGUAGGCGGUUAUUCAAGUCAGAGGUGAAAGCCCGGGGCUCAACCCCGGAACUGCCUUUGAAACUAGAUAGCUAGAGUCUUGGAGAGGUUAGUGGAAAUUCCGAGUGUAGAGGUGAAAAUUCGUAGAUAUUCGGAAGAACACCAGUGGCGAAAGGCGACUAACUGGACAAGUACUGACGCUGAGGUA